UUUCAAAUGUUUCAGCACCACCAGGAAAGUUAUCAAGCUUGACAUCGCAGCAUGCAUCUGAAAUCUGGGGCCGGAGCUCUAUUCGGCUGAAGUAGCCACACUUGGAGAUCAGUGGAUACUGUUUCAGGAAGAUAUUGAUGAGAUCUGUUGGAAUCUGAGACAUGGCAAGCCUGCGCAAGUAUAACCACGUUGGUGAGUUAGAGCUAUGGAUGAAACAUGUUGAGCAGCAAUAGAUCUAACCACAAUUAUAUUCAUGAUGUUUCUGUGUCUGAUAAGAAUAAUGGGAUCACAGAGAGGUUACCAUGAAUGUUCUUUCUUCUCAAAACCGCAGUCUGCUUCUGCUGCAAUGAAUUUUGAGGGAACUAUUACCCGUCGAUCCUCUUCUGAGGUGAUACCAUCCGAGUUGCUUGCUAGGGUCUGUUCCAUAGAAAUUUCCAUCUUCUUUCGGCCGUUGCUGCAUACUAGUGAUGAUGCUUAUCGUGUUUUAUCGACAAAGGGGUGAGUAAAUUGAAGGAGUGGGGCAAGGAGUGAGUUAAUGUGUGAGAAGGAAGUUUGUGGAUGAAGGAAGUUGUGCCAUUAAAGGAGGUUGUUGAGGUGGGAUUUCUUGAACAGCUUCAUAAGAUUCAGUGUCACUUAGAUUUUGGACUAAAAGGGUCCAAAAUGUGUUUGUAUGGACACAAGGAAUGUUGCUUCAGAGUUGUGACGAGUCUCAUUCACAUUUGGGUGGCUUAGUGGAUACUAUAGUAUUGCUCCAUUUAGUCCUAUUAAAUGUCUCAUAUUUGACCUAUGAGAGUUUUAAGAAAUUGUUUGACUUUGUAAAGGUGUAUGGGUGAAAAAGUAAGUGAAAUUUGGACCUCACUUUUAGUAUAUUAGUUUUAUAAUAAUUGCGAGUAGAA